ACACUCAUUUUUUUCUUUCAGGUAGCAUUUGGCAACAUCAGUCCUAGAGAAAAUCAUGGGAGCUGGAUUCUGACUAUAGCUGACAUGUUUUUGUUAUGUUAAUCACUUAGAUUGAAAUUUAGGAGAAGAUUAUUACAAUUUCUAUUCCAGAAAAUGAAACAAGAAUGAAGUAGGCACUGAGUUAAUAUGAUCACUUCCAGGUGAAAAAGAAAAAAAAAGUCAAGGAUCUUCAAUGGGGUCAUAGAAGGUUGGAGGACAAGUGCCAGUCCUCCUAACUAGGCCUUAAAAGUCUGGGUGGCGUGGACUCUCGCUGGAGCCUGUGGAGAUUAUAAAACCAGAAGCUCACUGCCUUGCGUGGCAGGAGUAAGAGCCAGUGUGGAGGUGUAGGAGUUGGAAGGAACUUGGAAAUCAGCCCCUUGUGGCCCUUCACUUUGAGAUUCACAAAGAAAAAAAAGAGAUGUCUCCCCUCUAAAAGCAAAUGGACCCUCCUUCCUGCACCUGAAGACCUUGCUCACUCCAGGUUCUUCCAAAGAAGCAGCAGCUUGACUUCCAAAUACCGUAUUGGAAAUGAGGGUGUCUGCAGGAGAGGAGGAUGGCCGAGGGCAUCUCAUGUGCCUGAAACAGUUCUUCAUGAGUGAAAGGGGGGUGCAGGAUGGAGAUGACACCAGCACCCACUUCCAGCUCUCCAAGUCUCUACUUUCUGCUCCUCCUCCAUCUGAAGCCACAGCAUCCUGACCAGGACCAUGCAGGGAACAAUUGCAAGCCACCCACUGUCCCUUUAGCUCUAUUUAAAACAUGGCACAGAUAAGAUGACUUUUGAAGAUGAGAAGGACAGAAAAAUAAAUGUAUAAAAAUAAAAGUACAAAAGUUCUAUGUUUUCCUGGCAUGUUGGGAUGAGUGCCUGAGAGUGGAUGUAGGCCAGAAGGUUACAUGGGCACACCAGCCCCAGCUCCAGAAGACAUUCCUGACCAGCCUCUUCAGAGGGAGGACGUGCAAAGGCAGUGGAAGCAUCCAGAGGAGUAAGCAGCUACUGCAGGACUUGCCCACUGAUGGGUGGUUGAUCACUCACACAGGGGGAAAGAACCGUGAAUUCCUGGUAGUGACACUGGAAUCAUCUUUUGUGUUUCCAGAUGCAUUAAAAAUAGAAAGGAACCACCAUGCAUGGAAUAUAUGAAGUCUUACAGAGAAGAGUGGUAAAGUAUUUUGUUCUGAAAGAUCACCUUGCAAGCCAUAUAAAAGCAUUCUGGAGAAACGGCCUCACCUCAUGCGGCAUUAGAACAUGCAUCAUAUAGCCUCAAUCUGUACGUGACACUAAAGUAUGUUCUUUGUUGGUGUUCUUUAUAGGUGUUUUUAAGCUGAAUGCACUCCAAAAAAUAGAUAGGAGAGAAGAAUAGUUGCUAAGACACAUAAAAUGCUCUAGAAUUGGAGUUGCAUAAGAAGUAAAAAAAAGAAACAAUAUAAGAAUAGAAGAAGAAAUGUAUAAAUAUUACAAUAGAACAUUGAAGUAUUUUAGGACCUUUACUCAGGGAUCAAAAACAUCAGAUAAGUCUAUAAAAGCCUCUGAGAGGCUGCAGAAAAAACAAGAUAAUAUAGAGUAGUGAUGUCCUUUUGGGAGUUUAAAACAAAACGCUUGAGUUAUUCUUGAAAGUAAUAUUCAAAGAUCUUAAAGGAUUGUAAAGUGUAGUUUCACAGUUUAGAAAGAUAGACCGAGUUCUGGGCACCCUUACCUCUAUUCCGGACAGCGGUAGAGCUCUGGGUAUAUCCUGAGAAGAUGUGGAGAUAAUUUCAGAGGAUUUCUGGCUGAAGAAACAUACUGAUGCCUAUCUUGAGCUCCGUCCCUUUAAAGUCAGAAGUGACCACCCUUGGGCUGGUCAGCCCUUUACCAUGGACCUCACAGAGCUCAACUAUAGGCUUGCUCUGGGCCAACUUCCAAGCUCUGUGCUCCUCCUCCUGAGCUCAUCUGUAUGUAGUCUUGCUCCUGGGCUACUCGACUGAUUUUUUGAAGCCUAAGGAAUUGCUUCCAUCUUCGUAUGACCAAGCCUGGGCCAAGCCACUAUUUCUGCUGACUCAUUUGCACUAUCUACCUCUACUGGGGAUGGUCAUAGCUUUCAUAGCUGACACACCAUCCAGCUUGAACCCAGUCUCUUCUUUGGUCAUUGUGAGUAGCAAGAAGCACUAUCUUUUGGAUUCACUGCAGGAUUCACACACUUAAAUGCGCAAAGUCAGGUUCUGUGGCUUUCGCUGCAUCCAGAUUGGACAGUGCCUGUAGCUGAGACAUCCUUUACCUCUGUUUCCAACGAACUCAGCUGGCAUUAAAACCUCAGUGUGCUUCCUCCACCUUGUCCAGAGGAAAGUCAAAUGAAAGACUUCAUCAAGAACUGGAGAAGAAAUGGAGAAGAACCACAUAGUUGGUCACUGCUGCUGCGUGAAUCUUGUGUUUAGAGCUCAGAGUUGGUGAUAUAAAUGUAGCCAGCUCUGCUGCUGCUUUCCCUUCACAUACCGUUAAACUGUACAGUAUAGUUCAGCUUUCAGUGCUGGAAUGGUGUUUCAAAUGUAGACUCGAACAAUGCUCAGAGGCUUGGUUCUAACAUAGAGCUGGAAUUCUAUCCUGAAAUGCAUCCUGCCACAUGGGGAAGGAACCCAGUCUUCUCUGUCUCUUGCUUUAAACUCUUCUCUCUUCCAGAGGCUGGAGUCUUGACAUAUGUGUCUGCAUCUUGAAAUAUGUGCCUUGAAUAAGAUCACUAACCUGUAGAAAACUUGUAUUACUUUGAACAAAUUCUCAGUUUAUAGAAACCUAUGGAAAUAGCAAAAGCGAGCAUGAGAAGAAGCAGUAACUUUAGCAGUCAUAAACUAAGUGGAUAACCUGAAAAAUAAAGUAUAUGCCCAAAACUGUAUUUAAUUAGUUUGGCCUUUCCCCCCCCCCCCAUCCUUUUCCGCUUUUACAUUUCUUUUCUAAAACUAAGUGCUCUUUCAUGAUCUACUUAAUAUUGUGAAAGAUGCCAGUCUGGAAAUUAGGAUGGCAUUUCUUGAAACAAGUGGCAACAUGGCGAGGUAGAAACAGCUUGGGGUCUAGUUCUGUCCUUGCUGCUAACCCUGGGUAGCCUUGGCCUUGCUGCUAACCCUGGGCACCUCUCUGGGCCUCUCUUUUUGUAUCUAUAAAGUCACGGGUCUCUCGGGAGUACCUUCUGGCUCUAAAAUCCACCCCCUCUGUACUGUUGAUGCUUUCCUGUGUUUAGAAAUUUCUCGGUUUCUUAUGAACUGUCAUAAGAGCUAGAGUUCAGGAGUAGUAGAAACUUGUGCUUCCGUUUGUGUCAAUGUUCAGCACUUUUAAAUGCUAAUGUAGGUAGUUAAUUUGUCAUCUUGCUUGAAUAUUAGUAUACUUUAAAAAUACCAUAUGCUAAAAUAUAAUCUUUAGAAAAACAAAUUUGUAAUGGGAAAUAAAUAAUUGUUACUGCUUAUCUCAAACCCUGCAGGGCCCCUCAGUCAUCACCUACAGCAUGGUUCUCAGACCUAGCUAUGUAUUAGCAUCUCCCACGGAGCUUUUAAAGAUAUUGGUGCCUGCCCUCUUACCUCAGAAUCUCUGAUCUGAUUGGUCUGGUGUGGGGCCCAAUACCAGUAUUUUAAGAGUCAAGUCAAGUCAAGAACCAGUGGCCUACAAAAUAAUUUCAAUUUCUGGGACUGAUGUCUAAGAUCUCACAGGGGUGACUCAUACCUACUUGGCCUCCACACUGACUGACCAACUGUAGGCCCUUCUGCAUGCCAUGAUGGUUCACAGUGUUGUUUCACAUUUCCAUACAUUUGCACCUGCUGUGAUGGCCUGGAAUGCCAUCACCCUAAGGGGCCUGCCUGUUCUUUACUACAGGUUUCUUCAUUAACAUAGUUCCUAUAAUACUUUGUAAUGACCUGCUUUGUAGUUGUCUUCCUAGAUUGUAAAUAUUUUAUCCAUAAUUGUAUGCAUUUGUAUUCAUAAA